AUGACUAAAGAUAACCUGUUAAAAAGAGGUAUUACUAAGCCACCUGAAUGUGUAUUUUGCAAGGAACAUGAAUCCAUAGAUCACCUGUUCUUUGGUUGUGUGGUUGCUAAACAAAUUUGGAUUGAAAUAUCUAGAAUCCUAUCUUAUGAUGUAGGCAAUAACUACUUAUCCAUUGCUAGAUUCUGGCCAGCCCAUAAGAAAAAGCUGGUCUUGAACUUUGUUUGUGCCUGUGUUAUGUGGUGCAUCUGGAAGUUCAGGAAUUCUAUGAUUUUUAAUAAUGUGUGGUGGUCUGACCUUAAACAGAUAUGGUGGCAGAUUCAUCUGACUCUCAAGAAGUGGAUGAUCUGGUUCAAAGAAUCUCCCUUGGAAGAGCUAAAGCUUGUUUCACAAAAAAUGGCAGUGACCUCACCUCCCCUUUCCUGCUGA
rnacentral:rRNA from 1 species